GGCACAGGCAUGAAAGAGCCCAGAGCUCGUCGCUGGGGAGAGGCUGCGUAUGGCGUUGUGAAGGGAGAGAUGGAGGAGGGGUUUGAGCAGCGCUGUGCAGGAAUGAACGGCUGGUAAGAGAAGAGGCAGGAGUCGGGCAGCGGUACUGCAGCUCCUCUGGCAGCUUUGCAGCUCAGUAGGGAAGCAGAAGAUGUGGAUGUGAAAGAAGAAGUCCGUUGCUGGGACGUUCCCCUGUUCUUCCCCCAGCUGUCCCCUUGCUUUCCACAAGGCUGCCCUUUCCUUUCUCAUGACAGCCCACCCAUCAUUCCCUCAGAGCCCAUAUAUCCCUCCCAGUGUUUCCCAGCAAGACCCCUAGAGACACCCUGUAGCCCCCCACAGAGCCCUGGAGCCCCUCAAGGACCCCCUCAGACGCAGUACACCUCCCCCAUAGCUGGCCCAUAGCCACAUGGAGCCCCACAGUCCCCAGCAGCACCCCAUGUCCCCCACUGGGCUUCCACGGAAUCCUUCUAUUUCCUCCCUCAGACCUCCUUUACACCUCCAAGAUCCUCCCUGGGAACUCACUAACCCCCAUGUUCCCUGACAGGACCCCCAUCACCAUCCCAGGACCCCCAUAGCCCACCUUUGGCCUCUCCUCCCCCCGACCUGCCUCCAGAUCCCGUACAACCUCACAGUGCUGUGGCAGGGCUGGCUUCUGCAGGAUCCCCAUAGCCCACCAACGAGGAACCCCGCAGCAAUCCACAUCUCAGGAUGGGGCUCCAGCUGUGCACCAAUGCGUUCAUUCAAGAGAGGAGAAUGAAUGAGCGUAAAGGGGGGCCUUUCCUCCUGACGUUGCCCACCGCCUGCGUGUUGGCUGUGCCGUGCCAGCAGCAUUUUGUCCUCGAGCUGUGAGUGCAGAAAACGCCGUCCUUUUGCUGAACUUUGCUCAUUGUACACCCGCCAUCACAGCAAAAAACGCUCAGUGCUGCCCUGGGAAACUCCGCAAUCUCCACAGCGUUGCUCUCCAAGUUAGCACGCUCAUGGCCAGGCUGUGUUCCCUGCAGCUCUUUGCACGUGCUUUGCAGACAGUCUGUCUGUGGGCAGUGCAAAGGACUGCUGCCUCCGUUGCAUCACUGGACGGCAGCAUUCACUGACGGAGCUGUGGCAGUUCUGAGCGAGCGCCGCGAGACCAAUAACGAGGAGGUGGUGCAGCAGCUCUCCGAGUGCCGCUGGACAAAUCAGGCCGUGCGCUCUCUGUGAAUCUAUAAAUUUGACUGGUUUUU